rnacentral:lncRNA from 1 species
CAAAAUGGCAAUAGUGCAGAGUCUGACCAUGACUUGCAAUCUGAGGGAGAAGAAUCAGACAUGGAAAUUCAGGACUUACAGAGGAAUCUUAACAGGCUGCGUUUAACACCGCCUGUCCAGGCUAUUCGAAUUUGGCCGGUACCUGCUAAAAGGACAAAAUUUAACAGGUAUGCUGGGUUAACGAUGACUUUUCUUACCCCGUUCCAGCGAGGUAUUAAGAAAGCACAGGAAGAUGGGGAAGAUACUAGCAGUUUUCAACUUUUUCCAGUUUUUGAGCAAGUUAAUGAACAAGAUCAGAGAGUUAGAGUUCAUGCUGUAAUCCCAUUUAAAACCAUUAAGGAACUAAAAAGUGCAUGUGAGAUGUAUGGUCCAAAUUCCCCUUUUGUACAGAGCCUGAUAGAAAAUAUUUGCUCACAACCCCUUCCUCCUAGUGAUUGGAUUUCUUUAGCCAGAACUUGUCUGAGCGGGGGAGAUUUCUUAC